UUAAGCGACUAAGCGUACACGGUGGAUGCCCUGGCAGUCAGAGGCGAUGAAGGACGUGCUAAUCUGCGAUAAGCGUCGGUAAGGUGAUAUGAACCGUUAUAACCGGCGAUUUCCGAAUGGGGAAACCCAGUGUGUUUCGACACACUAUCAUUAACUGAAUCCAUAGGUUAAUGAGGCGAACCGGGGGAACUGAAACAUCUAAGUACCCCGAGGAAAAGAAAUCAACCGAGAUUCCCCCAGUAGCGGCGAGCGAACGGGGAGGAGCCCAGAGUCUGAAUCAGUGUGUGUGUUAGUGGAAGCGUCUGGAAAGGCGCGCGAUACAGGGUGACAGCCCCGUACACAAAAAUGCACAUACUGUGAGCUCGAUGAGUAGGGCGGGACACGUGGUAUCCUGUCUGAAUAUGGGGGGACCAUCCUCCAAGGCUAAAUACUCCUGACUGACCGAUAGUGAACCAGUACCGUGAGGGAAAGGCGAAAAGAACCCCGGCGAGGGGAGUGAAAAAGAACCUGAAACCGUGUACGUACAAGCAGUGGGAGCCUCUUUUAUGGGGUGACUGCGUACCUUUUGUAUAAUGGGUCAGCGACUUAUAUUCUGUAGCAAGGUUAACCGAAUAGGGGAGCCGAAGGGAAACCGAGUCUUAACUGGGCGUUAAGUUGCAGGGUAUAGACCCGAAACCCGGUGAUCUAGCCAUGGGCAGGUUGAAGGUUGGGUAACACUAACUGGAGGACCGAACCGACUAAUGUUGAAAAAUUAGCGGAUGACUUGUGGCUGGGGGUGAAAGGCCAAUCAAACCGGGAGAUAGCUGGUUCUCCCCGAAAGCUAUUUAGGUAGCGCCUCGUGAAUUCAUCUCCGGGGGUAGAGCACUGUUUCGGCAAGGGGGUCAUCCCGACUUACCAACCCGAUGCAAACUGCGAAUACCGGAGAAUGUUAUCACGGGAGACACACGGCGGGUGCUAACGUCCGUCGUGAAGAGGGAAACAACCCAGACCGCCAGCUAAGGUCCCAAAGUCAUGGUUAAGUGGGAAACGAUGUGGGAAGGCCCAGACAGCCAGGAUGUUGGCUUAGAAGCAGCCAUCAUUUAAAGAAAGCGUAAUAGCUCACUGGUCGAGUCGGCCUGCGCGGAAGAUGUAACGGGGCUAAACCAUGCACCGAAGCUGCGGCAGCGACGCUUAUGCGUUGUUGGGUAGGGGAGCGUUCUGUAAGCCUGUGAAGGUGUGCUGUGAGGCAUGCUGGAGGUAUCAGAAGUGCGAAUGCUGACAUAAGUAACGAUAAAGCGGGUGAAAAGCCCGCUCGCCGGAAGACCAAGGGUUCCUGUCCAACGUUAAUCGGGGCAGGGUGAGUCGACCCCUAAGGCGAGGCCGAAAGGCGUAGUCGAUGGGAAACAGGUUAAUAUUCCUGUACUUGGUGUUACUGCGAAGGGGGGACGGAGAAGGCUAUGUUGGCCGGGCGACGGUUGUCCCGGUUUAAGCGUGUAGGCUGGUUUUCCAGGCAAAUCCGGAAAAUCAAGGCUGAGGCGUGAUGACGAGGCACUACGGUGCUGAAGCAACAAAUGCCCUGCUUCCAGGAAAAGCCUCUAAGCAUCAGGUAACAUCAAAUCGUACCCCAAACCGACACAGGUGGUCAGGUAGAGAAUACCAAGGCGCUUGAGAGAACUCGGGUGAAGGAACUAGGCAAAAUGGUGCCGUAACUUCGGGAGAAGGCACGCUGAUAUGUAGGUGAAGUCCCUUGCGGAUGGAGCUGAAAUCAGUCGAAGAUACCAGCUGGCUGCAACUGUUUAUUAAAAACACAGCACUGUGCAAACACGAAAGUGGACGUAUACGGUGUGACGCCUGCCCGGUGCCGGAAGGUUAAUUGAUGGGGUCAGCGCAAGCGAAGCUCUUGAUCGAAGCCCCGGUAAACGGCGGCCGUAACUAUAACGGUCCUAAGGUAGCGAAAUUCCUUGUCGGGUAAGUUCCGACCUGCACGAAUGGCGUAAUGAUGGCCAGGCUGUCUCCACCCGAGACUCAGUGAAAUUGAACUCGCUGUGAAGAUGCAGUGUACCCGCGGCAAGACGGAAAGACCCCGUGAACCUUUACUAUAGCUUGACACUGAACAUUGAGCCUUGAUGUGUAGGAUAGGUGGGAGGCUUAGAAGUGUGGACGCCAGUCUGCAUGGAGCCGACCUUGAAAUACCACCCUUUAAUGUUUGAUGUUCUAACGUUGACCCCUAAUCGGGGUUGCGGACAGUGUCUGGUGGGUAGUUUGACUGGGGCGGUCUCCUCCUAAAGAGUAACGGAGGAGCACGAAGGUUGGCUAAUCCUGGUCGGACAUCAGGAGGUUAGUGCAAUGGCAUAAGCCAGCUUGACUGCGAGCGUGACGGCGCGAGCAGGUGCGAAAGCAGGUCAUAGUGAUCCGGUGGUUCUGAAUGGAAGGGCCAUCGCUCAACGGAUAAAAGGUACUCCGGGGAUAACAGGCUGAUACCGCCCAAGAGUUCAUAUCGACGGCGGUGUUUGGCACCUCGAUGUCGGCUCAUCACAUCCUGGGGCUGAAGUAGGUCCCAAGGGUAUGGCUGUUCGCCAUUUAAAGUGGUACGCGAGCUGGGUUUAGAACGUCGUGAGACAGUUCGGUCCCUAUCUGCCGUGGGCGCUGGAGAACUGAGGGGGGCUGCUCCUAGUACGAGAGGACCGGAGUGGACGCAUCACUGGUGUUCGGGUUGUCAUGCCAAUGGCACUGCCCGGUAGCUAAAUGCGGAAGAGAUAAGUGCUGAAAGCAUCUAAGCACGAAACUUGCCCCGAGAUGAGUUCUCCCUGACUCCUUGAGAGUCCUGAAGGAACGUUGAAGACGACGACGUUGAUAGGCCGGGUGUGUAAGCGCAGCGAUGCGUUGAGCUAACCGGUACUAAUGAACCGUGAGGCUUAACCUU
rnacentral:rRNA from 1 species